CUCGAGUAGGGCCCAAGCCAGCCAGGAAGGAGGAGGCAGCCAGAGUGGCCACCACUGCUCUCUGCAGCAGAAGACCCCUUGCUGCCAGUGUUUUGCAGACUGAAAGGCAAAUUUCCAGUUAACAAGGAACUUCAUGGAACUAAUCUAACUGUUCUCACAAGAGAAAAGGAGAUACUUCUCCGAGGCUCUGUGGAACUGCUGACUAUUUACAGACUACGACUUGCCCUGUGGCAGAGGAGAGAGACUUGUCCUUUGAAAAAGAUAAAUGACAGAUUCACAUCAUCUUUUUAAUAUGCCCUGUGAUAAAUUGAAACUUCAUCUGUAUUUCAUCUGAUAAUCUAUGCUGAGCAUUCUAAUAUUUUAGGAUGCACUAACGGAGCAAUAAUGUGCAUUCCUUCUGCUACCUGAUGCUACUGACCAAUUGUUCAUUGGCUGUGAUUGUUCAUUGGCUGUUAUGAAGAAAUCAGCCAAACCAAAACAGUAGCUCUUGAUAUAAAGGACUUGAACCAGCAUAGUUUCAGGCAGUGUAAUGUCUUAACUUU